AAAUGCUACAAAAAACAAAUUAGUGUUACUAUUUGUCACUGUUCCAUUUAGUUCAUUCAAAACAUAUUCAUUGCAUGCUUUUCCUAGGAGCCAGACCCCUGGAUAUUAAGGUAAAUCAAAGAGAGACAAUCAUUGCUAUCACAGAGUCUGCAGUUUAGUGGGUGAGACAGAUGAGAAACCGUGUCAAAAAAAAACCCGUUAUUGUGGCAAAUCUUAAGAAAGAAGAAUACAGGAAGCUGUGAAAGUAACUUAGGUAGUCUGGAAGUAUAGCACUUGAGGAAGUAACAUUUAUGCUGGGACCCAAAAAGUAAUAAAAGUAGACAGAGUGAAGAGAAGUAUAAAGGGCAUUUCAAGCAAAUGUGAUAGCUUAUAUAUACAGCCCCAGGCAAGAAGGAGCUCAGUGCAGUCAAGUAACUAAAAGACAGCCACUGUGGCUAGAGCAGGAACAAUAGAAAGCUAAACCUUAACAGGGACAGGUCAGAUUAUUGAGAACCAUGAAGAUCACACUAAAGUGUUUAGACAUUGCCGUUAGACCAAAAGAAAGUCACUCAAGUUUUUUUUAAGGAGAGGAAUAAUAUGAUGAGAUCUAUCUUUUAAAAUUAUAAUUUUUUAAAGUAGACUGUUAUGUGGAAAAUCGAUUAGGUGGAAACAAAAGCGAAUGCAAGGAGACCAGUGAGAAAGUUACCAUAGUUGUUUAAGAGAAAGAGGAUACUAAUGUGGGUAAGACAGGCCAGCAAUGCAGAUGGAAAUAAGUAGACAGACUCA